CCUACGGGAGGCAGCAGUGAGGAAUAUUGGUCAAUGGACGAGAGUCUGAACCAGCCAAGUAGCGUGAAGGAUGACUGCCCUAUGGGUUGUAAACUUCUUUUAUAUGGGAAUAAAACGUUCCACGUGUGGGAUUUUGUAUGUACCAUAUGAAUAAGGAUCGGCUAACUCCGUGCCAGCAGCCGCGGUAAUACGGAGGAUCCGAGCGUUAUCCGGAUUUAUUGGGGUUAAAGGGAGCGUAGGUGGAUUGUUAAGUCAGUUGUGAAAGUUUGCGGCUCAACCGUAAAAUUGCAGUUGAAACUGGCAGUCUUGAGUACAGUAGAGGUGGGCGGAAUGCGUGGUGUAGCGGUGAAAUGCUUAGAUAUCACGAAGAACUCCGAUUGCGAAGGCAGUUCACUGGACUGCAACUGACACUGAGGCUCGAAAGUGUGGGUAUCAAACAGGAUUAGAUACCCCAGUAGUC
rnacentral:rRNA from 1 species